CAAGCUGUUUAGAAGGAAAUGUGUUCAUGUG
rnacentral:piRNA from 1 species